rnacentral:rRNA from 1 species
AUUGAACGCUGGCGGCAUGCCUUACACAUGCAAGUCGAACGGCAGCAUGAUCUAGCUUGCUAGAUUGAUGGCGAGUAGCGAACGGGUGAGUAAUACAUCGGAACGUGCCCUGUAGUGGGGGAUAACUAGUCGAAAGAUUAGCUAAUACCGCAUACGACCUGAGGGUGAAAGUGGGGGACCGCAAGGCCUCAUGCUAUAGGAGCGGCCGAUGUCUGAUUAGCUAGUUGGUGAGGUAAAGGCUCACCAAGGCGACGAUCAGUAGCUGGUCUGAGAGGACGAUCAGCCACACUGGGACUGAGACACGGCCCAGACUCCUACGGGAGGCAGCAGUGGGGAAUUUUGGACAAUGGGCGAAAGCCUGAUCCAGCAAUGCCGCGUGUGUGAAGAAGGCCUUCGGGUUGUAAAGCGCUUUUGUCCGGAAAGAAAUGGCUCUGGUUAAUACCUGGGGUCGAUGACGGUACCGGAAGAAUAAGGACCGGCUAACUACGUG